GCUUGUCUCAAAGAUUAAGCCAUGCAUGUCUAAGUAUAAACAAAUCUAUACUGUGAAACUGCGAAUGGCUCAUUAUAUCAGUUAUAGUUUCUUUGAUGGUUCUUACUACUUGGAUAACCGUAGUAAUUCUAGAGCUAAUACAUGCAUGAACCCCCGACUUUUGAAGGGGUGUAUUUAUUAGAUUGAAACCAAUGCGGGUUCUGCCCGGUUUUGUGUUGAAUCAUAGUAACUUUUCGAAUCGCAUGGCUUCACGCCGGCGAUAGUUCAUUCAAAUUUCUGCCCUAUCAGCUUUCGACGGUAGUGUAGUGGACUACCGUGGCGUUAACGGGUAACGGAGAAUUAGGGUUCGAUUCCGGAGAGGGAGCCUGAGAAACGGCUACCACAUCUAAGGAAGGCAGCAGG
rnacentral:rRNA from 1 species